rnacentral:rRNA from 1 species
UGGGGAAUUUUGGACAAUGGGCGAAAGCCUGAUCCAGCAAUGCCGCGUGUGUGAAGAAGGCCUUCGGGUUGUAAAGCACUUUUGUCCGGAAAGAAAUCCUUGGCUCUAAUACAGUCGGGGGAUGACGGUACCGGAAGAAUAAGCACCGGCUAACUACGUGCCAGCAGCCGCGGUAAUACGUAGGGUGCAAGCGUUAAUCGGAAUUACUGGGCGUAAAGCGUGCGCAGGCGGUUUGCUAAGACCGAUGUGAAAUCCCCGGGCUCAACCUGGGAACUGCAUUGGUGACUGGCAGGCUAGAGUAUGGCAGAGGGGGGUAGAAUUCCACGUGUAGCAGUGAAAUGCGUAGAGAUGUGGAGGAAUACCGAUGGCGAAAGCAGCCCCCUGGGCCAAUACUGACGCUCAUGCACGAAAGCGUGGGGAGCAAACAGGAUUAGAUACCCUGGUAGUCCACGCCCUAAACGAUGUCAACUAGUUGUUGGGGAUUCAUUUCCUUAGUAACGUAGCUAACGCGUGAAGUUGACCGCCUGGGGAGUACGGUCGCAAGAUUAAACUCAAUGAAUUGACGGGGUCAUAGCUGUUUCCU